ACCAUACAGGUCCUUGUGGAUGUCGUGGAAGUCCUUGGUAACACUAUGCAGGUCUUUAAGGAUGUCGUACAAGUCUUGAGGACACGAUACAGGUUUUUGAGAACACCAUAAAUAUGUCAUCGAGGUCCCUCUGGAUACGAUACAGGUCUUUAAGGAAACAUGCUUGAGGACACUUGAGUUCCUUGAGGAUGUUGUAGAGGUCCUUGAGGUCCUUAAGAAUGUCGUAGAGGUCUUUGAGGACACUAUACAGGUUCCUGAGGAUGUUUCGUAGGUCCUUGAGGACGCUAAACAACAACAUGCUUAAGGAUCUGUCAGUGUCCUUGAAGAGCUUUGGAACAUUUUUAAGGACCAACAUGCUGCAAAGGUCCUUGAGGACCUGGUAGUGGUUCUUGAGGACUUGGUCCCUCAGGAUACGAUACAAGUCUUUAAGGUGUUUGUAAGCAUGCUUGAGGACACUUGAGUUUCUUGAGGAUGUUACAGAGGUGCUUGAGGUCCUUAAGAAUGUUGUAGAAGUCUGUGAGGACAUUAUAUGGUUCUUGAGGAUGUUACGUAGGUCCUUGAGGACAACAUGCUUAAUGUCCUUGAAGAGCUUUGGAACAUUUUUAAGGACCAACAUGCUGCAGAGGUCUUUGAGGACCUGAUAAAGUUCCAGGUGAUGGUGAAGGUCCUCAAGGUUCCUGUGGUCUUUGGGAUCCUGAACAGGGUUGUAGAGGCGCUCGGCUGUAUUAAGGAGGACCUGAGGGGAUGUUCUGAGGUCCUUGAGGAUGUUUUAGAGGUCCUUGAGUGAGCAGACUGCUAACGGAGCCUGAACCAUCCCUCCUGUUGCCAUGGUUACCUGCGGUUUAAUAUAUUUAGAGGUCUGAUGUUGAGCUGCAGCUUAUCGACCUGAACUCUGGUCCAAGUUUCCACGUGUUUGAUUCCAGCAGCUCUGGACUCUCUGCAGCCACGUUGUGUCUCUGGUUGUUGUUUUUGCUCGACUUCUGCCGUCUGUUGUGGGUUUUAUGACGUUGUUCAGAUUUCUAUAUGAAACUACGACACGCUGAGCUUCUGCUCUCUCACCAAACCGUCCUGUUGUCGUCCAGCUGAUUGAUGUUUUCUCACGUUUCCAGGAUAAUGAACAGUUUCUAUUUUAAACUCUGUUUUCUACUGACUUCAGCGUCCGGUCGGAAAAACACGCGACUGCAAAGAAAGAAACGAAUCAGAAUUUCUACGAGCAACAAAAAUGAUACGAAUGAAGCAGAAAAGAAAAACGUCUUUGUUGCGGUUACGUGUUUCGUUUUUUGUUUGAUGAUUCAGAAACUUUCAACAACAACAAAAAAAAUCCUGUCGGGGAGCAAAUAUUUAUUUUUUGAACUUGAACGAGGCUUUUGACGCCUCUGAUGAUUCUAUUUUUGUACAAAUGUAUAGAAGUUGUUGUUAUUGAUAUCCUGAGACGUGUGUUUGACCUGUUUGGUUUGUUCGGACACUUCCUGUCUAUUUAUUAUGAAAAUCUUCUGUUUACUUCCUUCGCUCUGUUCUGCUGUGUUCACAUGUUUGUGUCAAUAUACCAGUGAUGAAAUGUU